rnacentral:rRNA from 1 species
AGGACGAACGCUGGCGGCGUGCCUAAUACAUGCAAGUCGAACGCUUCUUUUUCCACCGGAGCUUGCUCCACCGGAAAAAGAAGAGUGGCGAACGGGUGAGUAACACGUGGGUAACCUGCCCAUCAGAAGGGGAUAACACUUGGAAACAGGUGCUAAUACCGUAUAACAAUCGAAACCGCAUGGUUUUGAUUUGAAAGGCGCUUUCGGGUGUCGCUGAUGGAUGGACCCGCGGUGCAUUAGCUAGUUGGUGAGGUAACGGCUCACCAAGGCCACGAUGCAUAGCCGACCUGAGAGGGUGAUCGGCCACAUUGGGACUGAGACACGGCCCAAACUCCUACGGGAGGCAGCAGUAGGGAAUCUUCGGCAAUGGACGAAAGUCUGACCGAGCAACGCCGCGUGAGUGAAGAAGGUUUUCGGAUCG